rnacentral:rRNA from 1 species
UACGGAGGAUCCGAGCGUUAUCCGGAUUUAUUGGGUUUAAAGGGUGCGUAGGCGGCCUGUUAAGUCAGGGGUGAAAGACGGUAGCUCAACUAUCGCAGUGCCCUUGAUACUGAUGGGCUUGAAUGUACUAGAGGUAGGCGGAAUUGACGGUGUAGCGGUGAAAUGCUUAGAUAUCGUCAAGAACACCGAUAGCGAAAGGCAGCUUACUAGGCUGUAACUGACGCUGAGGCACGAAAGUGUGGGGAUCAAACAGG